AAUUUGCCAAAUCUGAUACUGUGAAAAAAUUUGAUAACUUUUCUAAUUCCUAACAAGUAAGUUUAAAAGCAUCGUUUUAAAAUAAUAAUUGAGUGCUUUUGGUAAUUGGUAUACUUAAUGUUAGCCCAGAGGAUUCUGAAAUAAAAAUUACGUGUGAUCAGAACACCAUUUAUUUCAUAGACAAAAUUAGAACUUUAUUUGGUGGGCGUGUUGUUGGAUUUUUCUUUAUUAAUCGGUGGUAAUAGUAUACACAGCGUUUCUAAAUGACCCAAAUUUAAAUCAGACUCAUUUCUUCCGAACCAGAUCGCUUGUGUAGUCCAUCUCUGCUGGUUUUAGUGGCCUAAGCCGCCACCUAAAUGAUCUGUAAGUGAUCAUUAAAUGCCCAGUACCAGAUGUGGCAAAUGCCGAGUGGCCGUAGGUCCCCAGCUCAUCAACUCCUGCCCUCUAC
rnacentral:lncRNA from 1 species